CGCGAAUUCGCCCUUCGGGGUGCAGCAGGCGCGAAAACUUUACAAUGCCCGCAACGGCGAUAAGGGAACCUCGAGUGCCAGGUUACAAAUCUGGCUGUCGUGAUGCCUAAAAAGCAUUGCAUAGCAAGGGCCGGGCAAGACCGGUGCCAGCCGCCGCGGUAACACCGGCGGCUCGAGUGGUAACCGUUAUUAUUGGGUCUAAAGGGUCUGUAGCCGGCCGGGUAAGUCUCUUGGGAAAUCUGGCAGCUUAACUGUCAGGCUUUCAGGAGAUACUGCCUGGCUCGAGGCCGGGAGAGGUGAGAGGUACUUCAGGGGUAGGGGUGAAAUCUUGUAAUCCUUGAAGGACCACCAGUGGCGAAGGCGUCUCACCAGAACGGACCUGACGGCAAGGGACGAAAGCUAGGGGCACGAACCGGAUUAGAUACCCGGGUAGUCCUAGCCGUAAACGAUACUCGCUAGGUGUCGGCCACGGUGCGACCGUGGUCGGUGCCGUAGGGAAGCCGUGAAGCGAGCCACCUGGGAAGUACGGCCGCAAGGCUGAAACUUAAAGGAAUUGGCGGGGGAGCAC
rnacentral:rRNA from 1 species